rnacentral:rRNA from 1 species
AUUGAACGCUGGCGGCAUGCCUUACACAUGCAAGUCGAACGGUAACAGGUCUUCGGAUGCUGACGAGUGGCGAACGGGUGAGUAAUACAUCGGAACGUGCCUAGUAGUGGGGGAUAACUACUCGAAAGAGUGGCUAAUACCGCAUGAGAUCUACGGAUGAAAGCAGGGGUUCGCAAGACCUUGUGCUACUAGAGCGGCCGAUGGCAGAUUAGGUAGUUGGUGGGAUAAAAGCUUACCAAGCCGACGAUCUGUAGCUGGUCUGAGAGGACGAUCAGCCACACUGGGACUGAGACACGGCCCAGACUCCUACGGGAGGCAGCAGUGGGGAAUUUUGGACAAUGGGCGCAAGCCUGAUCCAGCAAUGCCGCGUGCAGGAUGAUGGCCUUCGGGUUGUAAACUGCUUUUGUACGGAACGAAAAGCCCUGGGUUAAUACCCUGGGGUCAUGACGGUACCGUAAGAAUAAGCACCGGCUAACUACGUGCCAGCCGCCGCCGUAAAAC